AGAGUUUGAUCCUGGCUCAGGACGAACGCUGGCGGCGUGCUUAACACAUGCAAGUCGAACGAGGUCCAUUCAGUAGCAAUACUGAUGAAGGCCUAGUGGCGAACGGGUGAGUAACACGUGAGAAACCUAUCCUGGUCUCUGGGAUAACAGUCGGAAACAACUGCUAAUACCGGAUGCCGUCGGAUCGCUGCAUGGCGAACUGACGAAAGGGUUACUGGAUCAGGAGGGUCUCGCGGCCUAUCAGCUUGUUGGUGGGGUAACGGCCUACCAAGGCAUCGACGGGUAGCUGGUCUGAGAGGAUGAUCAGCCACACUGGGACUGAGACACGGCCCAGACUCCUACGGGAGGCAGCAGUGGGGAAUCUUGCGCAAUGGGCGAAAGCCUGACGCAGCAACGCCGCGUGCGGGAAGAAGGCCUUCGGGUUGUAAACCGCUUUCAGAAGGAACGAAACUGACGGUACUUUCAGAAGAAGGUGCGGCCAACUACGUGCCAGCAGCCGCGGUGACACGUAGGCACCAAGCGUUGUCCGGAUUUAUUGGGCGUAAAGAGCUCGUAGGCGGUUCGAUAAGUCGGGUGUGAAAACUUUGGGCUUAACCCAAAGCGUGCAUUCGAUACUGUUGUGACUAGAGUUCGGUAGGGGAGUGGGGAAUUCCUAGUGUAGCGGUGAAAUGCGCAGAUAUUAGGAGGAACACCGGUGGCGAAGGCGCCACUCUGGGCCGAAACUGACGCUGAGGAGCGAAAGCGUGGGUAGCAAACAGGAUUAGAUACCCUGGUAGUCG
rnacentral:rRNA from 1 species